rnacentral:rRNA from 1 species
UACGGAGGGGACUAGCGUUGUCCGAAGUUACUGGGCGUAAAGCGCGCGUAGGCGGGUUGGUAAGUCCGCUGUGAAAGCCCGGAGCUCAACUCCGGAGGGUCGGUGGAUACUGCCAGUCUUGAAGGUGCUAGGGGGAGAUGGAAUUACCGGUGUAGCGGUGAAAUGCGUAGAUAUCGGGAGGAACACCUGUGGCGAAAGCGGCGCACUGGACCACAACUGACGCUGAGGCGCGAAAGCUAGGGGAGCAAACAGG